UGGGGAAUAUUGGGCAAUGGGCGGAAUCCUGACCCAGCAACGCCGCGUGAAGGAAGAAGGCUUUCGGGUUGUAACCUUCUUUUAAGAGGGACGAUAAUGACGGUACCUCUUGAAUAAGCCACGGCUAACUACGUACCAGAAGACGCGGUAAUACGUAGGUGGCAAGCGUUAUCCGGAUUUACUGGGUGUAAAGGGCGUGUAGGCGGGACUGCAAGUCAGAUGUGAAAACUAUGGGCUCAACCCAUAGCCUGCAUUUGAAACUGUAGUUCUUGAGUGUUGGAGAGGCAGGCGGAAUUCCGUGUGUAGCGGUGAAAUGCGUAGAUAUACGGAGGAACACCAGUGGCGAAGGCGGCCUGCUGGACAAUAACUGACGCGGAGGCGCGAAAGCGUGGGGAGCAAACAGG
rnacentral:rRNA from 1 species